rnacentral:lncRNA from 1 species
GUGGAUAAGUACUACAGUGAAACUGUUGAAAGGCAUUCAUGUUGGAGCACUGAUGAAUGUCAAAAGUAAUUUUGGUGAAACGACCAUGUUUCUAAUCAUGAUGAGCAUGCAUUGAGGUCAGCAAUAUGUGCAUAUUUUCUUUAAAAUUCAAAUGAUAUAGAUCUGAUCACUGCUAAAGUUCAAGAUGUAUCAAGGUAAUUUAUAUUUGCAAAUAAUAUAGUGAUUUAUGGGAAUGAGUAAGUUAAAUGCCGUAUUGGAUUUUGUGAAAGAAAUACCUAAGAGGAACAAGCAUUUUACAAUAAGAAGAAUGGAAUAGAGAGUGCAACUUUUGUGAAAGUGAAAACAAAAAAUGAGGCCCUUUCAAAAUUAAUGGCUAAGAGAUACCCCAUUUCAAUGGUUUUUAUCUUACUCUUAUCAAAAAGAAUUCAGAGACAA